UACGAAGGGGGGCUAGCGUUGCUCGGAUUGACUGGGCGUAAAGGGCGCGUAGGCGGUUCGUACAGUCAGACGUGAAAUUCCUGGGCUCAACCUGGGGGCUGCGUUUGAUACGUGCGGACUUGAGUGCGGAAGAGGGUCGUGGAAUUCCCAGUGUAGAGGUGAAAUUCGUAGAUAUUGGGAAGAACACCGGUGGCGAAGGCGGCGACCUGGUCCGAUACUGACGGCUGAGGCGCGAAAGCGUGGGGAGCAAACAGGAUU
rnacentral:rRNA from 1 species